rnacentral:rRNA from 1 species
UACGAGAGGCCCAAACGUUAUUCGGAAUUACUGGGCUUAAAGAGUUCGUAGGCGGCGCAGAAAGUAGGGUGUGAAAGCCCCCGGCUCAACUGGGGAGGGUCACGCGAUACUGAUCGACUCGAAGGCAGGAGAGGGUAGUGGAAUUCCCGGUGUAGUGGUGAAAUGCGUAGAUAUCGGGAGGAACACCAGUGGCGAAGGCGACUACCUGGCCUGUUUCUUGACGCUGAGGCGCGAAAGCUAGGGGAGCAAACGGG